AGGAGGAAUAAGGAUGAGAGCAAGGUUGAUGAGGAUGAAGCCAUUUGGGGAUUGAUAGCUCGAAAGAUCAACAAGGCAAAUGUUGUUGUUAUUCCUCCUCCUCCUCUUCCCCUUCAUUGCCCACGCCGCCACCUUCAACGUCGUCAACCAGUGCACCUACACCGUCUGGGCUGCAGGCGUCCCCGGUGGCGGCCAGCAACUCGACCCCGG
rnacentral:misc_RNA from 1 species